AAAGUCGUAACAAGGUUUCCGUAGGUGAACCUGCGGAAGGAUCAUUACAACGUAUCCACGUAUCAAACUCGCGAACUGUCCCCUUUAGAGUCAACACUUGUGGAUGAAGUUAAUGGUCGACUGACUUUCCUGAUGGAUUCACGGAUUGUUAUCUGCGAACUGAAAGGCUUUCGGCCGCCGGCACAAACGGUCACGUUUGAGCUGGGGCUUCGUUUACUCUACUGUGGUUACCGACCAUCAGCGGCUGUUUUACCCUAUUAUUAACCCUUUGAAUUUUGAACUGAACUUGAAAGCUCAGCUGCGGCAGCCCUUGCUGGCUUCGGUCACGGGCCGCUCAACGCAGUCUGACUUUCCAUAUUACGAAACAAAGAACAACUCUUAGCAACGGAUAUCUUGGUUCUC
rnacentral:misc_RNA from 1 species